rnacentral:rRNA from 1 species
GACGAACGCUGGCGGCGUGCUUAACACAUGCAAGUCGUACGGUAAGGCCCUUUCGGGGGUUCACGAGUGGCGAACGGGUGCGUAACACGAAAGUAACCUUCCCACACCUUUGGGAUAACGCUAGGAAACUGGUGCUAAUACUGGAAAUGUGCUCCUGCUGCAUGGGGGGGGUUGGAAAGCUCCGGGGGGUGUGGGUGGACUCGCGGCCUAUCAGCUUGUUGGUGGGGUAGUGGCCUACCAAGGCGGCGACGGGUAGCCGGCCUGAGGGGGUGACCGGCCACAUUGGGUCUUAGAGACGGCCCCGACACCGACUGUAGGCAGAAGGGGGGAAUAUUGAACAAUCGGCGCCAGCCUGAUGCAGCAACGCCGUGGGCGGUAAGACUGCCUUCUGGUUGUAAACCGCUUUCAGCAGGGACGGAGCAUUUUGUGACGGUACCUGCAGAAGAAGCACCGGCUAACUACGUG